rnacentral:lncRNA from 10 species
CUGGCUGCUCUCUUCUAGUCCAGACCUGCGGUUACUGCCACAGGCCUCAGCAGGGCCUGGUGACGAGCUCUGCACAGCCGGCCGGGAAGUGUCACUUUCCCGGAUGAGGAGAGGAAACAUGUUUCUUGCAAAUGGGCUGUGCGCUUGUGGAAGAGCUCCUCUGCACUGCGCUUCCUCCGCUCCCAAGGGCCCCAUCAAAAUGGGGCUGGGGUAACAGCAGCCCCAGACAGCCCACCCUGCAACAACCAGGAGAAGAACGCGCCCGAAAGGGAAGCGGGAGGACACGACACCGCAGGCUGCUUGUGGUGGGAUGAUGGACCAUGCGGGCUGGAUCACUAAAGGCGCACAUUAGCCCAAGCGGAGCCUCUGACACACUCAGGGAGGUCAGAACCAGGAGAGGAGAAAAGCCGGAGUGUCCACAGUGACCGUCAGGAAGAGGGGCUGCGAGGCACCCUUGUGAUGCUGUCCCCAGGCUCUCUGGGCCUCUGUGGAUUGCGACAUCACCUCAUGAUUCUCUAGUGCAACCGAUAAGCACAGCUGAGCACAUCAGAUAGGAGGUGCUUUUACAUCUGGAGAAAACAUACGCUAGAAGGAAAAAGGUUUCCAUGGACUGAUUCCUGGUAAGGGAACCUGCAAGUCUGGAGGCCCUGCCCACCCCGCUCCGAGUGCUCAACCGGCUCCCAGUGCUGAACUAGUUUUUGAUCCAGGAUCUGAUGUGGCACUGACCCCUUCAGCUUUUUUUUUCUUUUUCCUUCCUCUUUUAAAAUAAAUGUAUUACAAUAACCUGUCUUAGAGGAAAUAGAGACAGGAUUUAAGGCCUUACUUUUCUUAAAGGAAUAAGGCCAUUUUGAGAAUAUACUCUUUCAAAAAUGCUCUAAGUAUUUAUUUUUAAAAAAUGUUCAUUUUAAAUAUUUAUUCUAAGUAUUGCAAAGGCUUUUCAAACACCUGUCUCUUUUACAGCUCUGUUAUUCAUGGAUUCGUGAAAAAUAAAUGUGCGGUGGUUUUAUUUACACAUUAUUUAAAUGGUUUACUUCAAUUUCCUUUUCUCCUUAUCAGGGUUCUCUAUUUUAUCUUACAGAGUCUUAAGAAGGAUACAGAUCAUGCAUGCUUUAACUUUUGCUGUUUAAAGUCCAAGUGCUAUGCUGGGUAUAAUGUAUUUUGAUCUAUCGCAUAUAAAUAUUUAUUAUAAACAUUAAAAAUUAGAUUAUUUCUAACUUUUCUGGAGUGGGUGAUGGGUAGUGAGUUUAGAUUCCUUCUUGCUUCUCUGGGUUUCCAGGGUUGAGGGAAAGUG